UGGGUCGGCUGGACGGUCGCGUCACGGGUUCGCCCGUGCCGAGGAACGUCCGGGCUCCACAGGGCAGGACGGUGGGUAACGCCCACCCGGAGCAAUCCGCGAGACAGUGCCACAGAGAGCAGACCGCCCGCGCUUCACGGCGCGGGUAAGGGUGAAAGGGUGGUGUAAGAGACCACCGGGGUCGUGGUGACACGACCCGCACGGUAAACCUCGUCCGGAGCAAGGCCAGACAGGGGAUGUUGACGCGGCUCGCCGAGUCCCCGGGUAGGCCGCUGGAGCGGCACGGCAACGUGUCGCCGAGAGAGAUGACCGUCCACGGGGCGUUCCGCCCCCGGACAGAACCCGGCGUACAGGCCGGCCCAUUCG
rnacentral:RNase_P_RNA from 1 species